rnacentral:rRNA from 1 species
AUGCCUAUUGUAUCAUUUUCAUCCUUGAUAGAUGCAGCGAGUAAAUUGUCACUGAAAAAUGUUGUGGUUGCAGCGUUUGUUUUGUUAAUUCUGCAUUCCUUCCUUUAUGAGAAAAGUGUUACUUCUGCGUUAGUUAUAUGUUAUGUUUCUCUAUGUCCAUUGCUUGUAUUGACUUCAGAUUGUGCAUAUGUGGAGAAGCAUGUCUGCUCCCAGUGGAGAGGACUUUCAGAAAGACAACUAGGCACUUGCUUUAGCAUUCACGAUUACUAUUUUUGUAAAAAUAUUCAUACGUGUGUUUGA